rnacentral:rRNA from 1 species
UGGGGAAUAUUGGGCAAUGGGCGAAAGCCUGACCCAGCAACGCCGCGUGAAGUAUGAAGGCCUUCGGGUUGUAAACUUCUUUGAUCAGGGAAGAAACAAAUGACGGUACCUGAAAAACAAGCCACGGCUAACUACGUGCCGGCAGCCGCGGUAAUACGUAGGUGGCGAGCGUUAUCCGGAUUUACUGGGUGUAAAGGGCGUGCAGGCGGGCUGAUAAGUCAGAUGUGAAAUCCCCGAGCUUAACUCGGGAACUGCAUCUGAUACUGUUGGUCUUGAGUGCUGGAGAGGAUAGUGGAAUUCCUAGUGUAGCGGUAAAAUGCGCAGAUAUUAGGAGGAACACCAGUGGCGAAGGCGGCUAUCUGGACAGUAACUGACGCUGAGGCGCGAAAGCGUGGGUAGCAAACAGG